rnacentral:rRNA from 1 species
CUCCUAGUACGAGAGGACCGGAGUGGACGCAUCACUGGUGUUCGGGUUGUCAUGCCAAUGGCACUGCCCGGUAGCUAAAUGCGGAAGAGAUAAGUGCUGAAAGCAUCUAAGCACGAAACUUGCCCCGAGAUGAGUUCUCCCUGAGACUUWRRGUCUCCUGAAGGAACGUUGAAGACGACGACGUUGAUAGGCCGGGUGUGUAAGCGCAGCGAUGCGUUGAGCUAACCGGUACUAAUGAACCGUGAGGCUUAACCUU